UACUUUUUAUUUUUUUUUAAAUUUUUAUUUAUUUAUGAUAGUCACAGAGAGAGAGAGAGAGGCAGAGACACAGGCAGAGGGAGAAGCAGGCUCCAUGCACCGGGAGCCUGAUGUGGGAUUCGAUCCUGGGUCUCCAGGAUCGCGCCCUGGGCCAAAGGCAGGCGCCAAACCGCUGCGCCACCCAGGGAUCCCGUUAUACUUUUUAAACCAUAAAAAGUUCCUGACUUUUUAGGGAGACUAAUUUUCUCUGUAUUUGAAAAGCAGUAAUGUUGCCACAUUGCAUCAGAAACUUUAUUACAGAAGUAUAAAAGUAUAAACGUAUCAGUAAACUAACCAGACGUUAAUGGCAUUAGGACUGAAGAAAAAUGAAAUAGAAAUUUUUAUAGUCUAUCAAACAUUUGUCUGGAUUCUGUAAUCAUAUAAGAAAGGUUGCUAUUUGUGCCUCUGUAAAUAAAAUCAAAUCUCACUCUCCUCAUGUAUUUGCAAAAUGAUUAAGUGUUAAUUUGUAUAUAUAACACAAGACUAUAGAACAAGAAUUUGGCUCUUUACAUUUAAAGUUUAUAAAGUCAGAUUAAUUUAAUUGACUAGAUUUUUCACAAAGAUGAUAAAUACUUUCAGCAAUCUUCUGUUUAAUUAUUUUAGAAAAAGUGAUUUUAGAAAUUCUUUAAAAUUAAAGAACUAAAGAUUACUCUUCCUUAUAUGUAAGUGUUUAAUUCCCUCUAAGAUUAGUGGGAGUUACAUGUGCACAUUAAGAAAAGACUAUAAGCUAAGCCUCAAUUUCAAACAUUUUCUAAAAGUACUUUUCGAAAGCUUAACUAGCUAGAGUGGCUACAUGUUUUUCACCCACGCUUAUGCACAAACACUUCCAAGGGGACUGCACUUACUUUAAAAACCUAAAAUCAUAGAAGCAUGUUAUGUUAACCAAGUUCAAUAAAAAACAACCACAAAUGGAAUGCAAAAUAUCUUUUCAAUCUUUCUGUAAUCACUUCUGAAUGGAAAAGAGAGCCACCUGGGGCUGAAAGUAUAUUACCAGUCAUUUUAAUAAUGUAAUUAUUUGAAAAAUAUAACUACUGGAAAAUGCCACUGACACAAAAUAUCAAAUAUAUAUACAUUUGUGUAUACUGCUAAUUCUAUACUUUAGAAUUCAUACUUUUAAGCAUAUGAAUAGGUAAAUAUUGUCUAAAUACAAUGGGAAAGAUGAAGACUGCUGUGCAUAUCAUCUACAGAUUAUUCAUGCAUGGAAAAUCUCAUAAUCGGGGGUAAUAGUGAAGUGAGCCUCAGGAUUAUGGCAACAUUUAGUUCUCUCGCUAAAAUCUUCAUCAUCUUGAAAGGAUAAAUGACAUUUAAAGAUUCCCUAAGUGGUGCUAUGUAAUCUUUUAUCUUUUCUCUUUCUUCUUAACUUCCAGAAUUUGUUGUUGUUGUUACAUUUAAUGCUAUAUAUGUACUGAAGAUCCUUGCAGAGGCCAUCUUUCUAAAGAAAUAGUUGAAAAUGCCAUGAAUAUCCUAGGAAAGGUCAGCAGUGACAAAGAGUGUUAUCUUCUUCCUUAUGCAAAUUUGCAGGGAAGACUAUAAUUGUUUAGUUAGCCAAAGUAUUUAUGUAACAUCCAUUAAUUAAACUUUUACUGUUUAACAUCUGUUAAUUAAACUCCUACUGGGCUAACCAUGGAAGGCAAUACAAAAAAAAAUUAGCUUUUAUUACAUGGUUUCUGCUAUAUACUAUUUAUGUAUAGCAAAUAAUACACAAAAAAUAUCAGUUAAGGGUUAAGCUGAGUUGUAAAGAUGUUAAAGGCAACAAAAGUUUCAGAAUUUGGAAAAUGACUGUGGGUUGUAGGAGCCAUAAAAAAUUCACAAAUUAGAUGGAUAUCCCCAGAUAGAAGGAAACAGAAUGAGCCAUGGUGUGAGAGAGAGGAAUGAACCUGGCUUUUGUGAGUGACAAUAGAAUGGUCAGCUUAUUUGAAGCAAAGCAUAUGUUGGGGAGUCACACAAGAUGGGAUAUAAGGAGAAAGGUAAGAAUAGAAAUGAAGGAACUUCAAAUGCAGAGGUAUUUGGGAGGAAAUAGGGAGCUAAUGGAAACACAUGACAUUGUGUUUUAUAAUCAUCUAGGAGUAUAAAGAAAAAAGAAACAAGAAAAUUAAGACCAUCAUAAUCAUCUGGGCAUGAUACAGUAAGAAUCUGGCCCUAGUAGAAUUAAUGGCAAUCUCCAAAGGUAUGGAAAAUUUAUACCCUUGAUUAGCUGCUAACUAUAUUCUUUAUCUCCUAUUUAGGUAUCAUUAAGCAAAAUAAACUAUUUUUUAAAUUUUAAUUUAGAUUGAAAAACAUGAUGAAAUAAAGCUAUAAGAGUUUUCAGAAGAAAUUUCAAGAAAGAACUUUUAAAGAUAAUUUCUCUAGAGUGACUUAAGCAAUAUUGGUGUAGAAGUAAUAUUGCCACAAACUCUGGUUAUUGUGUAGUAUUUGCUUUGCUACCUGAGUUGAUGAUUAGUCACAAGUAAUCAAGAGCUAGUGUUCUUUUGGCUAGAGGAGAUUUGUAGAUUUUUUUUUUUCAUACUAAAAUUUACAUUAGAAGAUGGGAACUCUUUAGGUAAAAUAGAAGAAAUAUUUCAAAACAAAGAUACAAAAGUGGAGCGGUGCCUUGGUGGCUUAGUUGGUUAAGUGUCCUGCUCUUGAUUUCAGCUCAGGUCAUGAUCUCAGGGUUAUGAGAUUGAGUCCCG
rnacentral:lncRNA from 1 species